CUUUGAUUCGUUUGAUCGUACUUACUACAGGGAUACCUGCAGUAAUUCUGGAGCUAAUACAUGCCUCGAUGCCCUGACCCGCGAGGGAAUGGGUGCAUUUAUUAGAACAGAACCAAACCGGCUUGCCGGUUAAUCUGUGAUGACUCUGGAUAACUUAAUCGAUCGCAGUCGGCCUUGUGUCGGCGACGGAUCAUCCGAAUGGCUGCCCUAUCAAUUGACGAUGGUAGGUGACCUGCCUACCAUGGUAAUGACGGGUAACGGGGAAUCAGGGUUCGAUUCCGGAGAGGGAGCCUGAGAAACGGCUACCACAUCCAAGGAAGGCAGCAGGCGCGCAAAUUACCCAAUCCCGGAACGGGGAGGUAGUGACGAAAAAUACGGAGACGGGACCCAUUAGGGCCUCCGACAUCCGAAUGAGUAAACCAUAAAUCCUUUAACGAGGAUCAACUGGAGGGCAAGUCUGGUGCCAGCAGCCGCGGUAACUCCAGCUCCAGAAGCGUAUAUUAAAGUUGUUGCAGUUAAAAAGCUCGUAGUUGGAUCUGGGUUGCAUGGCUGCAUGCUGUGGAGGUUCUCUUUGGCAUUCGUGUCGGGUGGGCUUUCAUGGUGUCGUGGUCGUGUGACCUUUCUGCCGUAUCUGUUUUACAGAUGUCAGUCGGUGCAAUUGGCAUGUCUAGGAUGUCGUUAAUUCGGUGUCCUGGGCAGACGGCAUGUUUACUUUGAACAAAUUUGAGUGCUCAAAGCAGGCCGUAGUGCCUGAAAAUUCUUGCAUGGAAUAAUGAAAUAGGACUUCGGUUCUAUUUUGUUGGUUUUCGGACUCGAAGUAAUGGUUAAGAGGGACAAACGGGGGCAUUUGUAUGGCGGCGCUAGAAGUGAAAUUCGUGGACCGUCGCCAGACAACCUACAGCGAAAGCAUUUGCCAAGGAUGUUUUCAUUGAUCUGGAGCGAAAGUCAGAGGUUCGAAGACGAUCAGAUACCGUCCUAGUUCUGACCAUAAACGAUGCCAACUGUCGAUCUGCGCAGUGCUAUCAUGGCCUCGCGGGCAGCCCCCGGAAAACCAAAGUUUUUGGGCUCUGGGGGAAGUAUGGUUGCAAAACUGAAACUUAAAGGAAUUGACGGAAGGGCACCACCAGGAGUGGAGCCUGCGGCUUAAUUCGACUCAACACGGGGAAACUCACCCGAGCCGGACACUGGGAUGAUUGACAGAUUGAAAGCUCUUUCUCGAUUCGGUGGAUGGUGGUGCAUGGCCGUUCUUAGUUCGUGGAGCGAUUUGUCUGGUUAAUUCCGAUAACGAACGAGACUCUAACCAGCUAAAUAGCAGCCUCGUCUUCUGUGCUUGUUCAGGUGGUAGUAUGCUUCGGUCCCUCGUGGGUCGUGGCGACUGCUGUCCUGGCAGUACGGUGCGGGUAUUUGCUUCUUAGAGGAAUUGGUGGCCCUCUAGUCAUACGAGAUUGAGCAAUAACAGGUCUGUGAUGCCCUCAGAUGUCCGGGGCCGCACGUGCGCUACAAUGACGGUCGCAUGGAGCUUGGGAGCCUGGCCCGAAAGGGUUGGGUAAACUUGGCCAUGACCGUCGUGCUCGGGAUCGGGUCUUGUAACUGUUACCCGUGAACGAGGAAUUCCUGGUAAGUGCAAGUCAUCAUCUUGCGCUGAUUACGUCCCUGCCCUUUGUACACACCGCCCGUCGCUACUACCGAUUGAAUGGUUUAGCAAGGUCCUUGGAUUGGUGCUUGUGGUGGUUUUACUGCCCGUUGCUAUCGAGAAGACGACCGAACUUGAUCAUUUAGA
rnacentral:rRNA from 1 species